rnacentral:lncRNA from 1 species
CAGCCAGCUCGGGGCAGGGCAUAGCCUGAAGGCCAGGAGCUCAGCUGUCACCACGGGGAACAAAGUCGGUGAUGCAGCCACACACUGAGCCUGGGGAAGAAAGUGAGCUGGUUGCUGCCUGAGAAUGAACAGCAUUAAGCCUGGCUUCCCUCCGACCUCCAGCACUUGGACUUCAGACUUGGAUGCGGAGAAGGCUCCAGAGACUUCUAGGCUGCAAAUUCCUGGGCAGAAGGCUGUGGAUGAAAUACUGCCACACCUGGGGCUUUUUCAGACAUCAGCCCGUGCUGCAGGAACAGGCCAGAAUGGUGUGAAGGUGACCCGAUGUCCCGGCUCCUCAGCAUCACCCGCGGGACUCGGGUCGGGGCCCUGCGCGGAGGGAGGAGGCUUUGCCGGUGCUGCUGGAAGCGGAGCCAUCCUCCGCGUCAGUCCAGUGCCACCUACAGCAGCCGGAGCAGAAGCUGCAGCACCCGGCAAACCAAUGGAAGCAAUUCCAGCACGCUCCAGCAAAAGGAGUUUUCACAUCUGUGAGUGCCUUUGAGGAACUUGUUCAUUAGCAUCGUGCAGGCGAGGACAAUGGAACGGAGCCUUUUUCUUGAAGAGUGGCAGCUGCUGUUGUAUCUGCUGGCGGUGAUAUUUCUCAACCUCCAGCAGUUCCUUCCCUCUAUGACCUGUCCUAUUCCCUGCUGUUUUGUGUGUUAGAAGUGCUCAUCUUUCUUUCCAGGGAAGAGAUGGAUCCGUAUGAAGAGAGGAAAAGCCCUCCUUCAGGCUUGUGCCAGUGUUUUCACCCAUUACUUUUUUUCAGUCAGUAACUCCAAAAUGCCAGUGAAACGCAAGGCAGUGCUUAGGUGUUUGAAAUAAAUUCAUUUAAAAUGACA